AUACAUGGCGCUGGGGAGGGAGAGCGGGUGGCUGGCUGGCUGGCUACAUUGUUUUGGUCAACACUGGUUAAUCUUGCCCCACACGCUCUUUUAACCAGUGUUUCUGUAUUCCCGGCAGCUUUUCCCUGUACCGAGCACCGCCAAGCAGCACCAGAGAGGCACGAAUACGUAAGGGGUCAAUUUUGAAAUGAAAUAUGUUACGUACGUCAGCCAGCGGGGCGCUGGCAGCCACCGCCUGUGACGUCAUCAGUGGUCCUGGGACUCGCUCGGAUACAGUGUCUCCUCGUCAGUAUUUACCGUAAUUUCCAGUGUUUUUCCAAGUGUUUCCAAGCUCAGGUAUGUAGGUAGUAGUAGUAUAAGGAGAAAAAUAGAGGAGGAGGAGGAAGUAGUAAGGUGAAAUGGAGGAGAAGGAGGAGGGGGCAUAACAGGUAAAUACCAAGAAGACCAUGUUUAGCUUAGUUUUCCUUCCUGCCCUGCUUUUUCUCUGUAAUAUUUCAUGUGUUUUGGGUGUUUUAAGUGUGUUUUGGAUGUAUUUAGGAGUGUUGUGGAGUGUUUUAUGAAUGUUUAAGUGUGUUUAGGAUGUAUAUUUGCUAUUAUAUCUGUGUUUUCUGUGAAUUUAGGGUGUUUAAAGUGUGGCUUAGGGUGUUUUUAGGUGUAUUUUACGUGUAUUUAGUCUUGUAAAGUGUUUUGAGUAUAUUGUGGAGUGUUUUGGGUGUGUUUGGGGGCAUAUUGAGGUGUUGUGAGUUUGUUAUGAGUUUAUUUAGGGUGUUUCAAGUGUUUCAGGUGAGUUUGGAUGUGUGUCGGGUCUUUUAUUUGAGUUUGUGUGGGGUGUUCUGGGUGCGGUAGUACUAAUAGAAGGAGAAAAAUAAAUAAAUGGAGGAGGAGGAGGAAGUAGUAAGGAGAAAUGGAGGAGAAGGAGGAGGGGGCAUAGCAGGUAAAUACCAAGAAGACCAUGUUUAGCUUAGUUUUUCUUCCUGCCCUGCUUUUUCUCUGUAAUAUUUCAUGUGUUUUGGUUGUUUUAAGUGUGUUUUGGAUGUAUUUAGGAGUGUUGUGGAGUGUUUUGUGAAUGUUUAAGUGUGUUUAGGAUGUAUAUUUGCUAUUAUAUCUGUGUUUUCUGUGAAUUUAGGGUGUUUAAAGUGUGGCUUAGGAUGUUUUUAGGUGUAUUUUACGUGUAUUUAGUCUUGUAAAGUGUUUUGAGUAUAUUGUGGAGUGCUGUGGUUGUGUUUGGUGACAUAUUGAGGUGUUGUGAGUUUGUUUUGAGUUUAUUUAGGGUGUUUCAAGUGUUUCGGGUGAGUUUGGAUGUGUGUCGGGUCUUUUAUUUGAGUUUGUGUGGGGUGUUCUGGGUGCGUCUUAGUGUGGUUUGGGCGUAUCCUGUUGUGGGAUGUUUUUUGGUGUGUUUGAAUGAGUUUUGGGAUGUUUUGGGUGUGUUUUGGCUGUUUUGAGUGUUUGAGUGAAUUUUGUGGGUAGUUUGAGGUGUUUUGAGUGUAUUUUGGAUGCUUUGAGUGUGUUUUGGGUGAGUUUUAUUGGUAUUCUAGGGUGUUGUGGGGUGUUUUGGGUGUGUUUUGGAUGUUUUUAGUGUAUUUCGGUUGUGUUGGAUGAGUUUUGUGUGUAUAUCAGGGUGUUUUGAGUGUCUUGGAUGUUUUGAGCAUGAUAUAGGUGUGUUUGAGUGAGUUUUAUUGAUAUUUUGAGGUGAUGUGGGGUGUUUUGAGCAUGUUUUUGGAUGAAUAAUAUGUGUUUUGUGUGUUUCUGGGUGAGUUUUAUGGGUACAUUUGGGUGUUAAGAGGUAUUUUGAGUGUGUUUGGAUGUUAAGCAUGUCUUAGGUGUGAUUGGAUGAGUUUUGUUAUAUUUAGGGGUGUUUUAAGUGUGGUUUGGGUGAGUUUUGUUGUAUUUAGGGUGCUUUGUGUGCAGUACCAGAAGGAUAACUGCAGGUGCAGGUCCAAUGGAGUUUCAAAGAAAAUAGAAAGUCCACUGGAGUUUCAAAAGCAAAUAAUGAGUAGGUCCAUUGGAGUUGCUAAGUUGUCCAUUGUUUGGUGUUUAGUUAAUUUCUUGUAGGCUAUCAUAGAUUUUCUCUCUCUCUCUCUCUCUCUCUCUCUCUCUCUCUCUCUCUCUCUCUCUCUCUCUCUCUCUCUCUCUCUCUCUCUCUCUCUCUCUCUCUCUCUCUCUCUCUCUCUCUCUCUCUCUCUCUCUCUCUCUCUCUUCCUUUUCCAUAAGUUGUUAAUUUAUCUGUAUUUUGUUUACGAUAAUAAUGGUACAUAACUGAUGGUUCAUAGCAGCCAGGUACAUAGCAGCCAUGGAUGGUACAUAGCAGCCAGUGGUACACAGCAGCCAAUGGUACAUACUGGCCUGUUACCCGUGUUGAAAAAUGUUUGUUCCUUGUAGGUUAAAAAUACUAUCGUUAUCCACCCCCAUUCCGUAAAAAUAUUUCAUAUGUCAAGUGCGUCGCAGUGGCCUUAUAAUUAAAGUCUUCACGAGUCA